rnacentral:rRNA from 1 species
AGAGUUUGAUCCUGGCUCAGGACGAACGCUGGCGGCGUGCUUAACACAUGCAAGUCGAGCGGUAAGGCCCUUCGGGGUACACGAGCGGCGAACGGGUGAGUAACACGUGGGUGACCUGCCCUCAGCUCUGGGAUAAGCCUGGGAAACUGGGUCUAAUACCGGAUAUGACCUCUCAUCGCAUGGUGGGUGGUGGAAAGUUUUUCGGCUGGGGAUGGGCCCGCGGCCUAUCAGCUUGUUGGUGGGGUGAUGGCCUACCAAGGCGACGACGGGUAGCCGGCCUGAGAGGGCGACCGGCCACACUGGGACUGAGACACGGCCCAGACUCCUACGGGAGGCAGCAGUGGGGAAUAUUGCGCAAUGGGCGGAAGCCUGACGCAGCGACGCCGCGUGGGGGAUGACGGCCUUCGGGUUGUAAACCUCUUUCGACCGGGACGAAGCGCAAGUGACGGUACCGGUAGAAGAAGCACCGGCCAACUACGUGCCAGCAGCCGCGGUAAUACGUAGGGUGCGAGCGUUGUCCGGAAUUAUUGGGCGUAAAGAGCUCGUAGGCGGUGUGUCGCGUCGGUCGUGAAAACUUGGGGCUUAACCCUGAGCUUGCGGUCGAUACGGGCAUCACUGGAGUUCGGCAGGGGAGACUGGAAUUCCUGGUGUAGCGGUGAAAUGCGCAGAUAUCAGGAGGAACACCGGUGGCGAAGGCGGGUCUCUGGGCCGAUACUGACGCUGAGGAGCGAAAGCGUGGGGAGCGAACAGGAUUAGAUACCCUAGUAGUCC